AGGGAGGCCUUGGUCCCUCCGGGGGAUAAACUAUGUAUGAACGCUUCAUGACAAAACAAAAACAAGAGCUUAUUGGUUGCAAAAAUGGAUCAAAUUAAGGAAAUGUAAACUAAAGGGAAAAAAAUUUAAACAUAAACCUAAGGCAGAUAACAUGGUUUAAAAGACAUUGCUAAAAGAAAAAUAAUAGUUACACUGCAUGAGAAAUCAAUAAUAUAGCCAAGUUCAAGAUAUACUGCAUGAGAAAUCAGAGAUAUGAACAUACUAUCCAUUGCUUACCACGCUAAUACAUGCUAAUUGCAACCACAUGAUUAUGUUGAAGCCCAUUCUACUGACAAGGAAAUUGUUAUGAAAUAUGGAACAUCAAGACCAAUUUCCAAAAGGUAACAAUUAGACCUCUAAAUCAAUUUCACUCAAAACAUCCAGAUAGUAUCAAACAACAAAUUGGAGAACUCAAAAUUAGGAAUUCAACCUCCUUCCAUACCUCUCCAUUCUACAUAUUAAAAAUAUUUCCUUCACAACGAACUUUAGUUCAGUAAGAAGGCCAGGUACUUGAGGCUAGUCAAGGUCUUGUCAUCUUGAGUAAGCAUAAAAUCUCCAAGCACUUAACUACUUGGCAGAAAGCAGUCCGUUUUGAUCCAUUACAAAGAAGUCUCAAAAAAUAUUCAGGAAUCAGCAAGAUGUCUACCUGUUUUCCCAGCCAUGAGGGAAACUGCCAUCUCCAAACUAAUGAACCAUCACUUUCCAAGCAAUAUUUGCCUCAUCAGUCGUUAUAGCCACAAAUAACAGAAACAUCCACAAGGUAAAAAUAAUAAGAGCUUCAUUACAGCCCCACGAAAAGAAUUAUCACUGAACUAUUUUUUAACAACUUGUACCAAAAGAAAUCACCUUCCAAAACAGCUCCAACCAAUAUGGCUUGGUUUAGCACCAUAGUCUUUUCUGUGAUCUCAUCAAACCACACUGCCUUGAAUAACUAGAAAAAAAUUGUCCGUACUUUGUCCUACGAUUGAUGGAGUUAAAACCUUGACCAAGGGGGCAACUUUUGGAUACUGUUUUUUUACAACCUAAAGGCCCAUUAUAUUUCCUGAGACCCUGAGAGAGUUACAAAAUACCAACAUCUAGUUGUGGGUUUCUAGUGCAGCAUCCACUAGAGAUAAAUACUGCAUCUUCCAUCAAAUCUUUCACAAUUGAAAACAUAUUGAAAUGUUAUUUCAAAAAGGCAAAAAAAAUGAAAUGUUUGUUUGGUCAUAUAGCCAUAAGUUAAAUCAUUAGAGAAUAUCAUAUUCAUAGUAAUAAAGAUUUGUUGAAAGCAAUAAUGUACCUUCCAGAAUACCAACUAAAAAUAAUAAUAAUAGAAGUUUAAAAAUAUAUAUAAAUAAAAAAGAAGAAGAAGCUGGGAUUGUCUGCCACAGAGAGAAUUCAUAGUUUUACUUUUCAUGCACUAACAUGUUAACUUUAGUUGAAAUAACCCAAUUUAAUAAGAUAACUAUGUAAAUCUUAUGCGUGUCUAAUAUUGAUUUGUAUAAAAGGGAAAUAAUUUAGUGUAAAUGAUAUGAUUGAAAUCUUAAUUGUUCACUCUGUUCAUCUCUUUCUUCCCUAAAUUCUUAUGUUCUUCUAUGUCUCUCCCCUUUCCUAGUUCAUUUCUCCUUUGGUUUGCAUCAAUAGUACCAGAGCCAACGAUACUCAGCUAUGGAUUUCUAACAAUAAGUCUUUUCUCCUCUUUCUCCUUUCUUAAAUCUAGGUUUCCUUCUUUUAUGUUCUUUCCAUCAAUUUCUCGUUUCUCAUUCUUCCUUCCAGUCUUCUUUGUAAUUUCUUGAGACUCUACUUAUCAAAUUCUUCAUCCCUAGAGAAACCCAUUUCACUUUUUCAAUCUUCCUUUCUGUAUUUUUUCUUUUCCUUUCCCCCAGAAAUAGAACGCCAUAAGAUUCAUUGUUUCUCGAACUUGCCCACCGUAAUUCUCAACUUUCUUGCAAAAUCAUCACUAUUCCCUUCAUCAAGAACCCAACAUUCUUGUUUUAUGAUUUCUUCUCGCACAAAAUGGAUUUUUUUCCCCGUUCAAUUACAAAAACUUUAUCGGAAUUGAAUGAUAGAAGAGUUAGAGGU
rnacentral:misc_RNA from 1 species